rnacentral:rRNA from 1 species
GUGGGGAAUAUUGGACAAUGGGGGCAACCCUGAUCCAGCAAUGCCGCGUGUGUGAAGAAGGUCUUCGGAUCGUAAAGCACUUUCGACGGGGACGAUGAUGACGGUACCCGUAGAAGAAGCCCCGGCUAACUUCGUGCCAGCAGCCGCGGUAAUACGAAGGGGGCUAGCGUUGCUCGGAAUUACUGGGCGUAAAGGGCGCGUAGGCGGCUCUGUUAGUCAGGCGUGAAAUUCCUGGGCUUAACCUGGGGACUGCGCUUGAUACUGCGGAGCUUGAGGCCAAGAGAGGGUGGUGGAAUUCCAAGUGUAGAGGUGAAAUUCGUAGAUAUUGGGAAGAACACCGGUGGCGAAGGCGACCACCUGGCUCGGUACUGACGCUGAGGCGCGACAGCGUGGGGAGCAAACAGGAUUAGAAACCCCGGUAGUCC